GGCGCUGCGCUCAUCGCGAUGCUCCUCCUCAUCAUCAUCAUCUCUGCACGCUUGCGAUUCGUUUUUCCCCAGUUGCAUGCAUUCAGUGUUUGUAAUAACCACUAUGAACGGUGCAUUUACACUUUAGUCUGGCAUGAAGUAGCCUACUGAGAAGAUAAGCGAACCUAGAAUACAUGUGUCAAUGUUUGCUGUUAGGAUGAUCAGCUGAUUUCUCAGCAAAGCACGAGAGCUGCGCUUCUACGUUUUUUUUUUAAUACGGGAUUUUCCCAACGGAAAAAUAUAUGACCGAAGCAACUCAUUUUAAUUUGUCAGAAAAUGCCCCAUGCUUUCCGAAUUUAUCACCGCUUAUUUUCAUCAGGUAGUUAAUUUGAAAUCCGAGCGACGAGGAGCACGCGCGUCCACUCGCAGUGAGCAUUUCGCAUCUACCGCCUGAUAUUUCCAUCCCCUCCAUUGUUACUUCAAAUCUAACGGAACCUCUACCAGAGCCGGUGUUUGAUCCUUAUCACAUGCAAAGACUGAUCUCGUCAGCUUGCGUAACAUAGAGGAAGAUUUCAUCCUGAGAGCAUCUAAUUUGCUCUUUGUGCACGCGCCGUUUUGAGGACUUGAUCAGCUCGGAGCUCCAUCAUUCAUCACUCAUUGAUUGCUCCAGUGAAGCUCUGAUUUCUCUGGUGUGCCCGAGGGAAAGAUUGAGAUGGAUUGGCGGUUGCAGGGAAUCCCCUGGAGAUGAGCAAAUGCACCCCAUCUGCUGCUUUGAACCAUUAUAUAUAGACGAACAGAGGCACCACAGACGACCACCCCCGUACAACACCAAUGACCUUCACCAUUGAUCCAUUUAUUGUUGUGUCUCAGAUUCUGUAAUGGAAAAUAGAGGUGAGUAUUUAUUGCCGUACUUUGCCUGGCCUUGAUACUAAUGAUGCUGAAUAAUUGAGAAGAAACGUUCCAUUUUGAUUAACAUUGAUUAAG